GGUUCCAUGGUGUAAUGGUAAGCACUCUGGACUCUGAAUCCAGCGUCCGAGUUCAAGUCUCGGUGGAACCU